rnacentral:rRNA from 1 species
UACGUAGGGUGCAAGCGUUGUCCGGAAUUAUUGGGCGUAAAGAGCUCGUAGGCGGCUUGUCGCGUCGGCUGUGAAAACCUGGGGCUCAACCCCGGGCCUGCAGCCGAUACGGGCAAGCUAGAAUUCGGUAGGAGAGUGGAAUUCCUGGUGUAGCGGUGAAAUGCGCAGAUAUCAGGAAGAAUAUCCGUGGCGAAGGCGGCUCUCUGGGACGGUACUGACGCUGAGACGCGAAAGCGUGGGGAGCGAACAGG